rnacentral:rRNA from 1 species
UACGAAGGGGGGCGAGCGUUGUUUCGGAAUUAGCUAGGGGCGUAAAGGGCGCGUAGGGCGGCCCCUUUUGUCGCGUGUGAAAAGCCCCCGGGCUCAACCUGGGGAGGUGCGCGCGAAACGGGGGGCUUGAGUUCGGGAGAGGAGGGUGGAAUUCCCAGUGUAGAGGUGAAAUUCGUAGAUAUUGGGAAAGAACACCGGUGGCGAAGGCGGCUCUCUGG